UCCAAGAUGUUGCUGAAUGGCAAUGCUUACCAUUUUUCACUACUGAGCACACUGUGCCAAGCUGCUGGGAUUUGUAGUUCACCAACAUCUCAAGAGCUUCAGAUGACGAAGAAUGCUGGGAGCUGUACUUGAAUAAAAUCUGGAACAUCUACUAUUCAUCCUCUGCUUUCCAUUAAGGAUCCAUCAGCUGAGGAUGUGUUCUAAAAGCUCAGCAUUUGAUUAAGACCACAACAAAAGAAGAUAAACAUAGAAGAAUCUCCCCUCAAUAGUAGCACGGAGUUUUCUUCUUUAUGAUGUGAUAAUAAAGAGAACCUUUAGAUAUUU